GUCGCUACAUCUGUAAGUGCAAGUUAAAACUCUACUAUGCAAAGCGAAAGCCAUUUAUCAACAAUAUCCAGAAACGCCACCGGCUUCUCUGGGCCCGAGCUCAUCUAAGAUGGACUGAUGCAAAGUGGAAAAGUGUUCUGUGGUCUGACGAGUCCACAUUUCAAAUUGUUUUUGGAAAUAGUGGACGUCGUGUCCUCCAGGCCAAAGAGGAAAAGAACCAUCCAGACUGUUAUCGACGCAAAGUUCAAAAGCCAGCAUCUGUGAUGGUAUGGGGGUGCAUUGGUGCCCAAGGCAUGGGUAACUUACACAUCUGUGAAGGCAAUAUUAAUGCUGAAAGGUACAUACAGGUUUUGGAGCAACAUAUGCUGCCAUCCAAGCAACGUCUUUUUCAUGGACGCCC